UUCCGGUUGAUCCUGCCGGACCCUACUGCUAUCGGGGUGGGACUAAGACAUGCGAGUUGUAUGGUUGAGACGCGGCAGACGGCUCAGUAACACGUGGCUAACCUACCCUCAGGACAGGGACAAACCCGGGAAACUGGGGCUAAUACCCGAUAGGCGAGGGCGCCUGGAAUGGUUCUUCACCCAAAGGAGUCAAAGCCUGAGGAUGGGGCCGCGUCCGAUCAGGUUGUUGGUGAGGUAACGGCUCACCAAUCCUAUAACCGGUACGGGCCGUGAGAGCGGUAGCCCGGAGAUGGGCACUGAGACAAGGGCCCAGGCCCUACGGGGCGCAGCAGUCGCGAAAACUCCGCAAUACACGAAAGUGUGACAGGGCUAUCCCGAGUGCCGUCCGCUGAGGAUGGCUUUUACCCAGUCUAGAACGCUGGGAGAAUAAGGAGAGGGCAAGAUCUGGUGUCAGCCGCCGCGGUAAUACCAGCUCUCCGAGUGGUAGGGAUGAUUAUUGGGCUUAAAGCGUCCGUAGCCGGCUUAGCAAGUCUCCUGUUAAACUCAGCGACUUAAUCGUUGAAUCGCGGGAGAUACUACUAGGCUAGGAGGCGGGAGAGGUCGACGGUACUUCUGGGGUAGGGGUGAAAUCCUAUAAUCCCGGGAGGACCACCAGUGGCGAAGGCUGUCGACUAGAACGCGCUCGACGGUGAGGGACGAAAGCUGGGGGAGCGAACCGGAUUAGAUACCCGGGUAGUCCCAGCUGUAAACGAUGCGGGCUAGGUGUUGGGGUGGCUACGAGCCACUUCAGUGCCGCAGGGAAGCCAUUAAGCCCGCCGCCUGGGGAGUACGGCCGCAAGGCUGAAACUUAAAGGAAUUGGCGGGGGAGCACCACAAGGCGUGAAGCUUGCGGUUCAAUUGGAUUCAACGCCGGA
rnacentral:rRNA from 1 species